GAAAUGCGAUAAGUAAUGUGAAUUGUAGAAUUCCGUGAAUCAUCGAAUCUUUGAACGCACAUUGCGCCCUCUGGUAUUCCGGGGGGCAUGCCUGUCCGAGCGUCAUUGCACACCCUCAAGCGCGGCUUGUGUGUUGGGCCCCCGCGUCCUUGCCUCCUGAAAGGACGGGCCCGAAAGGCAGUGGCAGCGUCGCGGUGAUCCGCUAAGCCAGAGCGUAUGGGGACGCUACAGUCACACGCUCGCGGCGCGGACCGGCGCUGGCCGACCCCCCUAACCAUUCUACGGUUUGACCUCGGAUCAGGUAGGGAUACCCGCUGAACUUAAGC
rnacentral:misc_RNA from 1 species